rnacentral:rRNA from 1 species
CAGUCGAGCGCACCCCUUCGGGGGCGAGCGGCGGACGGGUUAGUAACGCGUGGGAACAUACCCUUUACUACGGAAUAGCCUCGGGAAACUGAGAGUAAUACCGUAUGUGCCCUUCGGGGGAAAGAUUUAUCGGUAAAGGAUUGGCCCGCGUUAGAUUAGAUAGUUGGUGGGGUAAUGGCCUACCAAGUCUACGAUCUAUAGCUGGUUUUAGAGGAUGAUCAGCAACACUGGGACUGAGACACGGCCCAGACUCCUACGGGAGGCAGCAGUGGGGAAUCUUAGACAAUGGGCGCAAGCCUGAUCUAGCCAUGCCGCGUGUGUGAUGAAGGCCUUAGGGUCGUAAAGCACUUUCGCCAGAGAUGAUAAUGACAGUAUCUGGUAAAGAAACCCCGGCUAACUCCGUGCCAGCAGCCGCGGUAAUACGGAGGGGGUUAGCGUUGUUCGGAAUUACUGGGCGUAAAGCGUACGUAGGCGGAUCAGAAAGUAUGGGGUGAAAUCCCAGGGCUCAACCCUGGAACUGCCUCAUAAACUCCUGGUCUUGAGUUCGAGAGAGGUGAGUGGAAUUCCAAGUGUAGAGGUGAAAUUCGUAGAUAUUUGGAGGAACACCAGUGGCGAAGGCGGCUCACUGGCUCGAUACUGACGCUGAGGUACGAAAGUGUGGGGAGCAAACAGGAUUAGAUACCCUGGUAGUCCACACCGUAAACGAUGAAUGCCAGUCGUCGGGCAGUAUACUGUUCGGUGACACACCUAACGGAUUAAGCAUUCCGCCUGGGGAGUACGGNCGCAAGAUUAAAACUCAAAGGAAUUGACGG